rnacentral:rRNA from 1 species
UACGAAGGGGGCUAGCGUUGCUCGGAAUCACUGGGCGUAAAGGGUGCGUAGGCGGGUUUUUAAGUCAGGGGUGAAAUCCUGGAGCUCAACUCCAGAACUGCCUUUGAUACUGAAGAUCUUGAGUCCGGGAGAGGUGAGUGGAACUGCGAGUGUAGAGGUGAAAUUCGUAGAUAUUCGCAAGAACACCAGUGGCGAAGGCGGCUCACUGGCCCGGUAGUGACGCUGAGGCGCGAAAGCUAGGGGAGCAAACGGG